rnacentral:tRNA from 2 species
GGGCCCGUAGUUAAGUGGUAGAACACCUCAUUUGCAAUGAGGAGACGGCAGUCCGAUUCUGCCCGGGUCCA